AUGCUGCCCUGGAUCUCUCUGGACCUGUGCUUGAAUAAUCUGCUUUCACUUCUGUGUGCCAUAGAUGAUACCUGAAAGAGACGGACCCUGAGAGGCAGUUGGAGGGAUUGAUCCAAGACAGCAGACCAAUCAAGCUUCCAGAUGAAGCUACACAGGAAGGAGAGUAAAGCCAAGAGAACUGCCAGCAAAGGAAGUCAGAGCUGUUGGAUGGAGUCAUAUCUGAGGCCUGCCCUAACCUGUACUCCCAGGGUUUCCUUACACUUAAGAAUAGUGGAGGUGAAUUUUUCCAUUAUUUUCAUCUGGAAACAACUGACAUAAAGGACAUAUAAGAAAAUCUUGUGUAUUUUCCCUGAAGCUUAA